GUCCCCCUCGUCUAGAGGCCUAGGACACCGCCCUUUCACGGCGGUAACAGGGGUUCGAAUCCCCUAGGGGACG
rnacentral:tRNA from 1 species